GUGAGCAAGUUAAAAUGACAGCUAUAUGUGUUGAAGUUGAAUGACUGGAAGUGGAUUUGGGUAUUUAAGUUGAAUUGCAAUGUGACUUGAGGUUUAGAUUUUAGCAUUGGGUAUGUGUUCUAUGAAAUUGCCUUGCUAGAGUUUUAGGAGUUUCUUUAGAUUUUGGAUAAGGUUCUUUUGGGGUGCAUUAAUUAUUCCUUUAUUGUGGUUUGAUUUUCUAAUUUAUGGUGGAAGCUUCAUGGUUUGAGUUGAUAUAAAUGGGCUAAAUUUUGGUACCAUGGAGUGAAGUGGAGUGCUUU
rnacentral:misc_RNA from 1 species